UACGUAGGCAGCGAGCGUUGUUCGGAAUUACUGGGCGUAAAGAGUGUGUAGGCGGUGCUCUAAGUUCGGUGUGAACUCUCCUGGCUCAACUGGGAGGGUGCGCCGGAAACUGGAGUGCUUGAGCGUGGGAGAGGAAAGCGGAAUUCCUGGUGUAGCGGUGAAAUGCGUAGAUAUCAGGAGGAACACCUGUGGUGUAGACGGCUUUCUGGACCAUAGCUGACGCUGAGACACGAAAGCGUGGGUAGCAAACAGG
rnacentral:rRNA from 1 species